rnacentral:lncRNA from 1 species
CCUAUAACUCCUUCAUCUAGACUUGGAAUUUGUCAAAUAGUAUAUGUAAAGUGUAGCUAAGAAAGUUUUUUCUCUAAUUCCAGUCACUGAUCUUUCAUUGCUCUCUGUACGCAUAUGUUAUGCUUCAAAGAGUGACAGUAGAUACAAUUUGAUACCUUAACUUUGAACACCUAUAUCUCCUUCAAAAAAACUUGAAAUCACAUAAAAUCUUCAUCCAAAUUAUACCCAAAACCCUGAACUUGCUGACCUUAGUCUUCAAAGCUCGAAUGAAUUCGAAAGAGAAACCCUAAUCUCUAAUAAGGCCUCGGGCAGCCUCCUUGAAGCCCAUUAGGCAUGGCCUUCGACAAAUAGGAAUGAAGAUCUCUAUUCCUUGCCUUCAUCCAACCAUGCCUUGCUUUCAUCCCUCCCAAUAAGCUUCCUAAUAGUUUAGACUUUCAUCUUUAGACUCCAACCUUCCCUUAA